CCUACGGGAGGCAGCAGUGGGGAAUAUUGGACAAUGGGCGAAAGCCUGAUCCAGCCAUGCCGCGUGUGUGAAGAAGGCCUUCGGGUUGUAAAGCACUUUCAGUGGGGAAGAAAGCCUUGGGGCUAAUACCCUCGAGGAAGGACAUCACCCACAGAAGAAGCACCGGCUAACUCCGUGCCAGCAGCCGCGGUAAUACGGAGGGUGCGAGCGUUAAUCGGAAUUACUGGGCGUAAAGCGCGCGUAGGCGGUCUGAUAAGCCGGUUGUGAAAGCCCCGGGCUCAACCUGGGAACGGCAUCCGGAACUGUCAGGCUAGAGUGCAGGAGAGGAAGGUAGAAUUCCCGGUGUAGCGGUGAAAUGCGUAGAGAUCGGGAGGAAUACCAGUGGCGAAGGCGGCCUUCUGGACUGACACUGACGCUGAGGUGCGAAAGCGUGGGUAGCAAACAGGAUUAGAUAUCCCAGUAGUC
rnacentral:rRNA from 1 species